CUCAGGUGGUUAUUGCGGGUGUCUGUCCUCCGGCCGAGUGGUCACCUGUGGUCAUCCUGCAGGGCCACCUCUGGUGGGACCGUGGACGCGCUCUUGGCCUGUGAUGAAGAAAAUUGAAGGGGAUAAGCCACAGCUGCCACUUGGGGGCCCUGAUUGAGAAUUGGAACGUCCACAUCACUGUCCGUCAAGGAAUCCAGAGCCCCCGUUCCCUCCCACCAGCCUCGGGGCACAGUCAGCUAACGUAGAUGUCCAGCUGGGGUCUUAAGACUCAAGAACCAAGUGAAAACACCUCCCCUAGUCAAGGAGGUGGGGGCACCAGCCUGAGGAGGGGCACCUGCUUGAGGGCAGCGCUGCAGAGGGAGUGACCCGGUUGGGGAGGGGGGUGGGCAUCUUAAUGGUUUUCAAUGAAGCAAGAGGAUUAUGGAUGUGAAGGUAACUAUGGCAACAGUGUGUUAAGAGCAGCGCCUACGCCUGGGGGUGGGGGAGCUGGACCUGCUCUGUGUGGAGGUAGAUGCUGGCCGACGCUGCAUUUGGCCAAAAAGGAACAGAAACAACAGGGCCAAGUGCAAGAGGCAAAUAGAAAACAGAAAAACCAAGCAGAGGCUGGAGGAAGGCCGGUGGUUUCAAGAAUAUUUGUGGAGAGAAGAUUGUAGUGUCAGCUGGAAAACUGUAGACUAGAUUUUGCUGAGAGCAGGGGUUGUUCCUCCAGUUGUCACUUCUUUGCCCGAGUCUUUCUGCAGGCACCUGUCACCUGUCUGGACUCUAGCGAGUACUGACCCAACAUUUUUAGGCAAAACCUCAAAAUCCUAUGUUUGUCUAUAAUCCUCAAUUAAUUAUGUAGUAUUCUAUCUGAACUACUAGAACCCACCCCCCGCCCCACUCAAGGGUGAAUUAACCUUCUUUUUAAGAUAACUAGAUAAUUGGAGCAUCACUUGGACCCAGUGAUGGGUCCUGAGCUUGAAGGUGUUUCGGCUAAAGAGGAAAAUUAAAAUACUCAGCGAUCGCACCUUCCUCACGCAUGAGCGAGGUCUGCGUUCUGAUCUAACACAUGCAUUCUUUGUAAGCCCCAAAGGAGAUAUAUUAUGGCGUUUUCCUGUGUUAAUUAAUAUAAUUUAAUUCUGUGUCUUAAAAUUACAGAACUUUUACAAAACUUUCAAUAACGUCGUUUUAAAACUAGUUUAGGAUGACCAUAUUACUAAGUUAUUAAGAUAAUUUUCUUUUUAAUGAAAGAGAACUAAAAAAAAAGAUUGCUCAGCAACAGGAAAAUUAAAUUUAAAGGCUUUUAGUAAAGAAAAAAAUAAGGGAAUAAGGAAAGUUAUAGUUACUUCGGAUGUUCCCAAAACUGUGCUGUAGAACAUGCGUAACGAUGUCUGUCUCUGGCAGUAGUCAGUCACUAGAUACUACGAAAACCCUCGGGUUACAAAACAUGUAGCGAUGCUGGGUACAACGUUACAAGCAUAAUUUCAAAUGGUGGGUUCUGUUCUCAUGCCCCUUCUGUUCCCGUCUCUGCUGGCUCCUGUACUGGAAGCUCGUGUUUCUGGGCUCUUCUUUGUGGGAGUUCCCAAGUCCUGGGUUAAACAUGCAUUUCUCCUGAGUGGAUUUGGGUUUUCUGUCUGCCAGACUCCUGUGAGUGCUGCUUAUCUUGGUCUAGUGUGAUCAUUUUUUUCAUAGUUUGGAAUGUCCUGGACCCAGGAAGUGUGUGUCCCCAGAGGCCAAGAAACAGAGAAGCAAGAAACCACAAGAAGCCAGCCCUGCCCUGGGAGCGUUUGCUGAUCUCAGUAGAGAUAGCUGGACAUGCGUUUUCAAGAGCACGGGAUCAGCGCCCCUAACCCCUGAGCUGUUCAAGGGUCAGGUGUAUAUAUUGCAAAAUCAUUACCACCAUAAGUAUACAACCCAGUAUUGUUAAUGGUGGUCACCAUGCUGGACAUCACACACCCAGGACUUGCGCAUCUUAGAACUGGAGAAGCAGGAUUGCUGGGUCAUAUGACAGUUCUGUCUUUUAUUUUGGUUUUUUGAGGAACUGCCACAUUGUUUCCCACGGUGGCUGCAUCAGUUUUGCAGGUCUCUGACUGAGAGAGGCCACACCUGAGGAGCAGCAUUAACCUGGUACAGACCGCGAGGCCCUGGGCUUUGAGCCUGCUGCUGGGAUUGGAUGAGACUUUGGGGGACCUUGGGAGGAGAAUGUCAGAAGUAACAGUGCACCAGCUCCAUCCCUGGACCUCGUGAGGUUUUUGCGGACUUUUCCUUGGUCGUGCCUGCCGUCGUGCCUGCCGUGUAGAUAAGGUCUAGUACCAUUCUGGGGGUGAGAGACCAGAUAGAGCAGAGAUGAGCCACCCAGCCAUCCUAGACCAGCUAGUUCUUCUAACCAGGUGGCAGGCCACAGACCCAUGAGCCAAGGCCGGCAACACCAGAACCACCCAACUAAGACCAGCUCAAAUGGUCAACCCGCAGAAUCAUGAGCUAACUAAAUGCUUAUUGUUUUAGGCCCCCAAAUUCUGUGUUUGUUAUGCAUUAUUACAGCAAUGGAUAAUGAACCAAAUAACGUUGCUAACUCCUUUGAGGAAAUUACUGAGACAGAUGGUAGAAAACCAAAUGACUCUCCAUUUUUAUCUAAGCUGUAAAUGUAAAUAUGUCCUCAUUGUUUUAUAAAUUUCAGAGAAUUGAAAAUGUGGUUAUAACUUAACUAGCCACAUUAAGAAAUUUAAGGAAAAAAACAGCCAAAUUAUCCAGAACUAAAAUUUGAGCAGUGAGUUUUGGGUAAUAAGCUAAAAAAAGUUAGAUAGUAAAAUAUCAAGGCAUCAUAUUAAUGUUGAUAAUUAUAGUUUACUUAUAUAUAACAGUGCUAAUGAUAAAAGUCACUUAAAUAGUAUCUUUGUAGACACGCAUUAACCUCAGAUAGCAUACAAUAAAAUAAAUUUAAGUAGCACCCCCAAGAGACACAAAAGGGAAGACUGUGAAAAUAAAAAUAAGCUGGAAAAC